GGCAGUGGCGGACGGGUGAGUAACGCGUAGGAAUAUGUCCAGAGGUGGGGGACAACCCCGGGAAACUGGGGCUAAUACCGCAUAUGAGCUGAGGCUCAAAGCAGUGAUGCGCCUUUGGAGUAGCCUGCGUCCGAUUAGCUUGUUGGUGGGGUAAUGGCCUACCAAGGCGACGAUCGGUAGCUGGUCUGAGAGGACGACCAGCCACACUGGGACUGAGACACGGCCCAGACUCCUACGGGAGGCAGCAGUGGGGAAUAUUGGACAAUGGGCGCAAGCCUGAUCCAGCAAUUCCGCGUGGGUGAAGAAGGUCUUCGGAUUGUAAAGCCCUUUCGACGGGGACGAUGAUGACGGUACCCGUAGAAGAAGCCCCGGCUAACUUCGUGCCAGCAGCCGCGGUAAUACGAAGGGGGCUAGCGUUGCUCGGAAUUACUGGGCGUAAAGGGCGCGUAGGCGGCUUAGUUAGUCAGGCGUGAAAUUCCUGGGCUCAACCUGGGGACUGCGCUUGAUA
rnacentral:rRNA from 1 species